GUGCUGCAUCAACGGCAGGUGAGCGAGACCUCCUGUUGCACAUGAGCUGGAUAGGGGAGGCGCACUCACGGCCUCUUCGUACCUAUUCGCGCGGCCUCGUUUUUACUCUUCCAUGCCGUCACACCAAAUUUUGAUCACCGCGCCUGAGGUGUACUCGAAGCGCUUCGCGCAGGCGUUGGAGGCACGCUCCCUAAUCCCUAUGGCGGUUCCGGUGAUCGAGACCGUCGCGACACCGGACACGGCAGACAUGCGGGCACUGCUGGAGCAGGACCUCAACGGCAUCGACUACAUCGCUUUUUGCAGCCGGUGCGCCGUUGAUUCGUUGAGCGCUGCCUUGGACCACCGAUACGGCGGCGGCGGUGAGUCAGUGUCGGAGCGCGCCGGCAGCGCACUCGCGGUGAACGAGGACAGGCGGGCAACGACUGUAGUGAAGGUUCUCGCCAAGUGCGCUCUGGCUGCGAUCGGCAAGGACGCUGAUUACGUUCUCGAGCGGCUGCGCAUUCGCCCGGCGAUAUGCCCAGAUGAACCGAGCCCUGCUGGCAUCGCCGCAAAGCUGGCGGAGAGUGGCCGCGCGGAGGGUCGCACGAUCGCCGUGCUGGCGCCGUGUGUGGAGGGCUUCGCGGAACCGGAUGUGGUGCCGCGGUUUGUCGACCAGCUCAAGGGAAUGGGGAUGAAGGUGGUGCGAGUCGACGCGUACGUGACGCGUCCCGUGAGCGAAGAGGCCGUCUCUACCGCCGUUACAGCGCUGAAGAAUGGGAGUGUUCGCGGCGUCGCCUUCGCCAGUGCUGGCGAGAUCGCUGUAUUGCUGCGCCGCUCGCCCCGGUGCCUGAUGAACAUCGAUGUGGCUUGCUUUGGCCCAUACACUGCCGGGUUUGCAGCGAAGCAUGGCGUCAAAGUCUCAUGUGUGGCGAAGGAUUUCAGGUCGUUUGACGGGUUCGCCGCCACCAUCGAGCAGCAUUACGCGAGUAGAUGAGCCGCAGGCGCCUUGUACUGCGUGUGCGCUCUUCCGCUGUCUCCAGCGUCUCGGCCUGUCGAUCUCGGUUGUCGGCGUUCCUUAGCGUCGCCGCGACGUAGAUGAUGCCUCUGCUCUUGGCACCUCCUUGCUCUCUUUUAGUGCAUCCGUUCCGCGUUCCCUCACGACGGCGGGGCACACCUCUCAGUGCGUGGCAUCUCAGAGCCCAGUGCCCCCACUCUCUGUGAGUAGGGAGGCCAGGCAGCCCCGCCCUCCUAUCCCCUUGCCAAAUGCCGAAUCACUUCCUGCUGGUGGCCAAGGUGGAGUGUCUACGGCACAGAGGGAUCAGAGCGCCUCAUCUCUACGGAUGUCGGCGGUGGGGUCUUGGACGGCGUGGUGUCGGAGUGGUCUGCGACAGUGAGCACGUCUGUGCCAUCCACAUGAUGGGGGAGCGGCUAUGAGCUGGGUGGGUGGAGUUCGAGGCAGAGGCGGUGCCGAGAGGACUCUGGGGCGGUCGACGAGCGGUAACGCGCGCGUCUACGGCUGCUUGGCACCACGCGAUGGGGUGCUGUGGGGCAGGGCCGGGUGGCUCGCGCGGCGUUUGAGCUCCUGGUGGGAUGUAUGGCAGCGAGACGGUGUGGACACGCUGGAGAAAGAAUUUGUUCUGCGCUUCAGGUGGCGUGUCGCAUCGACGACUCGCCAUCGCUGGGGGGUGCUGCAUGGGGGUGGGGGGUGCGUAUACGUGUCUGUGUGCAUGCCGCGCGUCCAAAUGAGCGCUUGACAGGUACGCAUGAAUACGCCCAUGGCACGGGCAGGAGUGUCUCGAGAAAAGAGAAGUCGAGCAACCUCUCUCCUUUCGUGCGUUUUCCCAUUGCCCCAACGGCGUGUCGUGUGUGCGGCGGUUAUGCCGCUUUCCGUCGUAUGUGUUGUCUCUCUCCGCGAAAGGAUCAAAGAUGAUGCCCAAACGGUUGCCCUCCGGAUGCGCUCCGUCUCCGCGUGAGUGUCGCGGGGGUUCCCCGAGGCCCGCGGCGGCCAGCGAUUGAGGUGUGCGUUUCCUUUUUCGCUGCG
rnacentral:misc_RNA from 1 species